rnacentral:rRNA from 1 species
CUUGCUCUGGUGGCGAGUGGCGAACGGGUGAGUAAUAUAUCGGAACGUACCCUAGAGUGGGGGAUAACGUAGCGAAAGUUACGCUAAUACCGCAUACGAUCUAAGGAUGAAAGUGGGGGAUCGCAAGACCUCAUGCUCGUGGAGCGGCCGAUAUCUGAUUAGCUAGUUGGUAGGGUAAAAGCCUACCAAGGCAUCGAUCAGUAGCUGGUCUGAGAGGACGACCAGCCACACUGGAACUGAGACACGGUCCAGACUCCUACGGGAGGCAGCAGUGGGGAAUUUUGGACAAUGGGCGAAAGCCUGAUCCAGCAAUGCCGCGUGAGUGAAGAAGGCCUUCGGGUUGUAAAGCUCUUUUGUCAGGGAAGAAACGGUGAGAGCUAAUAUCUCUUGCUAAUGACGGUACCUGAAGAAUAAGCACCGGCUAACUACGUGCCAGCAGCCGCGGUAAUACGUAGGGUGCAAGCGUUAAUCGGAAUUACUGGGCGUAAAGCGUGCGCAGGCGGUUUUGUAAGUCUGAUGUGAAAUCCCCGGGCUCAACCUGGGAAUUGCAUUGGAGACUGCAAGGCUAGAAUCUGGCAGAGGGGGGUAGAAUUCCACGUGUAGCAGUGAAAUGCGUAGAUAUGUGGAGGAACACCGAUGGCGAAGGCAGCCCCCUGGGUCAAGAUUGACGCUCAUGCACGAAAGCGUGGGGAGCAAACAGGAUUAGAUAC